rnacentral:misc_RNA from 1 species
CUGUCACCGGCUCACCGCCCCUCUCAGAUUUUUCUGCUCGCGCUGACCGGGAUAUUUCCUGAAGCCGUUCACGUCCUUAUCUUCCCCAGCCGCUUCUCCUCCGGCCACGCGCAGCGCACCCAGUUUUUCUUCUCCUCCUUGCCAAGCUCCCACGGCGCCCAGCCCCUGUGCCGAGGCCUCCCAACACUCUCUCCCUCGACCGGCGCUCUGCCCAAUCCCCAAACUCGUCGCGCCCCUGCUCUCCAGGUUGGCCGCACGCCCAUCUUACUACCGUGCUCGCCCAGCUCAGAUCUCUUCGUGCCGGCGCUCUUCCCUGCCAUGGCCGCCCCCCCUCAGCUCGCCUCCCUCAAGCACGCCGCGCUCCUCCCUGCUCGACCAUGGAAGCCGCACCGUCGACCUCGCCUGAACCCCCUCUGCCGCGUCCCUCUCCCUGACUUCCGAGCUUCAGUCAUGGUGUACGGUGGGAUGGGGCUCAGGUACAUGUACCCCUGCAUCACCAUGGGGAGAUCACCAGGGCCUCUGGUGCCAUCGGUCUCUUCUACGGCGCACACCUUAUCUUCUCCCUCUAGACCCAACUCUCCACCGGCCGUGCUUGCCUGCACUGCUCAUGGCCGGUAUGCGUUCGCGCCCGCACAGAGCAUCUGGAGUUCUGGCACGACGAACGGGGGAAUGAAGCAGCCAGCAUCGCUCGCCCAAAUCCGGGGAGCACUUGAUGUCCGGCCGUCACAUCCCCGAUCACCUUUUGGUUUUCCUCUCUUCGCCUCGGUGUCCAUGUCCAAGCGCACUCGCCUCGGCCAGCAAUGGUGCCGAGUUCCUUCUGUCCAUGCUGCACGUUUCCAUCAUUCCCGUCGCGCCCAGGAUCGUUUUGUAUGCGUGUCGUUUUCCUGGCUCUCCUCACGCCGAUGGUCGCUGCUCCCCAUCGUGCCGAGCUCCCCACUGUCGUGCGUCGCUACGGGCUUGCUAUCGGACGCGGCUGUCUCCGUCACUUGCUUCAGCUCGCUAGCCCUGCAGCUCUUUACGCCACCAUCUUGUAUCGUUGUCGAUCCUACCAUCGAACGUCGUGCGUGGCGUCAUCAUCAUCCUUGUCCACUCAUUUAG